rnacentral:tRNA from 1 species
GCUUAAGUGACAGAGCCUGACAAUUGUAAAAGCCCUAAAACCUUUUAAUCAGGGGUUAAAAUCCUCUCUUAAGCC